UUCUCAGAGGAAGUGGUGAGUGCUGUUCCUGCACCCCCCGAGCCAGAGCCAGAGCAGAAAUGAAUGCAGAGAGAGAGAGGAGGGCAGAGCAGAGCUCAAGAGAAAGGAGGUGUUAGCAAGAACCGAGUGAAGAAAAUGGCGAUCAUGCAGAACGAAUGCCUCCCCUCGUAGAUGCUGCAAACGAGUUGAAAUUCUUUUAGCCUUACAGCCGGCUUUCCUUUCCACUCUGCUGCACUUUUUACUUAAAUGAGAGAUUUGGAAUUGGAAGCUGUUGCCACCAAAGAAACUGAAGCAUCUUAAUAGGGAACGCACCCAUAGAGGGAAGAACAGUGGAUGGAAGAGAGAGAGAGACGGAGAGUGUGAAGAGGAAGGAGGAUAAGAAGAUACUGGACGGAAGGUGAGAGAAGAGAUCGAGUCUUCUGUCAGCAGCUUCCUGGUGCUGGAGCAUACCAAGUCAAGGCAGAGUCCUAAAUCUAAACUACAUCCCCCCCCCUUCCCCCUCCCCGCACAUACACUUACCCGCACACAUACAGUCCCCAGCGAUGCCAAGGCAGCCUGAUCAGCCUGCUGCCUGCUCUGACAAGCCCUGCCUCUUCACCUCAGGUUAUUGAGGUUGUACCCUGUGAGCUUUGACCACUGACCUCCCCUUUGUCGAACUGGGAACCAGGGGUCACUUGUUCUCCAUUCAACCCGGGGACGCCCUCCUGCCCACCGAGGAGCCGCAGCUACAAGAAACACUCGCAGGCAUGGCUCCCAUUCGGGAUUCCGUCAGCCACUCCCCUAAUCAGACAGGUGACUACACAUGGCUGCCUUCUUCCCCAUUCUUCAGUAUUUCAUCU